ensembl:misc_RNA 7SK 7SK RNA
GGAUGUGAGGGUGAUCUGGCUGUGACAUCUGUCAUCCAUUGAUUGCCAGGCUGAUCUGGCUGGCUAGGCAGAUGACUCCUUCCUCCCUCAAUGUUCCAUGUGCAACUUUCCCAAGGCUGUAUACUCAGGAGAAGAUGGACAACCACUCCUGAUAGAGGAAGAUAGUUUCCUGGUCAAGGGCACACAAGUAGCUGAGCUCCCCUGCUAGAACCUCCAAACAAGCUCUCAAAAUGUCCCAGUCCAUAAAUUUCUCUCCUCCUGCUUCUCCCAGUGCAGUGGCACCCAGGUAUUUUGAUGAGGUCACAGGAAUUUAGAGAUUUUUUUAU